rnacentral:rRNA from 1 species
GACGAACGCUGGCGGCGUGCCUAACACAUGCAAGUCGAGCGAGAGACUUCGGUCUCUAGCGGCGGACGGGUGAGUAACACGUAGGUAACCUGCCUCAUAGAGGGGAAUAGCCUCCCGAAAGGGAGAUUAAUACCGCAUAAUAUUAUUUUAUCGCAUGGUAGAGUAAUUAAAGGAGCAAUCCGCUAUGAGAUGGACCUGCGGCGCAUUAGCUAGUUGGUGAGGUAACGGCUCACCAAGGCCACGAUGCGUAGCCGACCUGAGAGGGUGAUCGGCCACAUUGGAACUGAGACACGGUCCAGACUCCUACGGGAGGCAGCAGUGGGGAAUAUUGCACAAUGGGCGAAAGCCUGAUGCAGCAACGCCGCGUGAGUGAUGAAGGCCUUCGGGUUGUAAAGCUCUGUCUUUGGGGACGAUAAUGACGGUACCCAAGGAGGAAGCCACGGCUAACUACGUGCCAGCAGCCGCGGUAAUACGUAGGUGGCAAGCGUUGUCCGGAUUUACUGGGCGUAAAGGAUGCGUAGGUGGAUAUUUAAGUGGGAUGUGAAAUACCCGAGCUCAACUUGGGUGCUGCAUUCCAAACUGGAUAUCUAGAGUGCAGGAGAGGUAAGUGGAAUUCCUAGUGUAGCGGUGAAAUGCGUAGAGAUUAGGAAGAACACCAGUGGCGAAGGCGACUUACUGGACUGUAACUGACACUGAGGCAUGAAAGCGUGGGGAGCAAACAGGAUUAGAUACCCUGGUAGUCCACGCCGUAAACGAUGGGUACUAGGUGUGGGAGGUAUCGACCCCUUCCGUGCCGCCGUUAACACAAUAAGUACCCCGCCUGGGGAGUACGGUCGCAAGAUUA